UUAACCUCGUAAACUCCAAAGGAACCCAACGGCUACUUUCUCCAAACGGCUACUUUUCUGCUUUCAAAUUUCCUUAUAUAAUCUGAGAGAGAAGUUCAAUCCACACCACAAAGUAGCGACCAAUGAAAUUUAGAUCUUUCCCUCUCCUAGCCGCAGCUUGGCGACGGGUUAGUGAAGUAAACGGCGGGUCUGAUGAAGGUCGUUCUCUCGAGCGGUGAUGUUAAAACCGAGCCGGAUCCAAACGUGGAGAGAUGAUGAAGAUGUCUUUUAGUCAGGGGAUGAGAAGUCUGCUAGUGGGGGAAAGAUGCAACAGAGAGAUACGGCAACCAUCUUCCACGGACGUUCUAUAUGCCAGACAGACAGUAUGAUCCGAAAAGAAAUUGUAGAGGGAGUGACUCAGAUUGUACAGAUGCUUGACACAGAAAAAGAGUGAUGGAACUCUUCUUCUUUUUGUAGUGUGUCUGCUUUAGUGUCUUGAGAAUGUUUUAUCAGUUUAUAUGUAAUCCGUUUGUUCCCAAACUUGUAGACCAUUUUCUCAAAUUGAUUUUGUUUAGAUUAUGCUUGUAUCCUUAUUUUGAUACUUGUUGUGUUCUUGAGUUUCUUGAAAGAUGACAUUUUUUUUUGGUGUGUUA